CCUACGGGAGGCAGCAGUGAGGAAUAUUGGUCAAUGGGCGCUAGCCUGAACCAGCCAAGUAGCGUGAAGGAUGACUGCCCUAUGGGUUGUAAACUUCUUUUAUAUGGGAAUAAAGUGCAGUAUGUAUACUGCUUUGCAUGUGCCUUAUGAAUAAGGAUCGGCUAACUCCGUGCCAGCAGCCGCGGUAAUACGGAGGAUCCGAGCGUUAUCCGGAUUUAUUGGGUUUAAAGGGAGCGUAGGCGGGUUGUUAAGUCAGUUGUGAAAGUUUGCGGCUCAACCGUAAAAUUGCAGUUGAUACUGGCAGCCUUGAGUACAGUAGAGGUAGGCGGAAUGCGUGGUGUAGCGGUGAAAUGCUUAGAUAUCACGAAGAACUCCGAUUGCGAAGGCAGCCUGCUGGACUGUAACUGACGCUGAUGCUCGAAAGUGUGGGUAUCAAACAGGAUUAGAUACCCGAGUAGUC
rnacentral:rRNA from 1 species